rnacentral:tRNA from 1 species
GGUCCGGUAGUUCAGUUGGUUAGAAUGCCUGCCUGUCACGCAGGAGGUCGCGGGUUCGAGUCCCGUCCGGACCGCCAUUAAUGUAAACGAAACGAUCAUGUUUUCGUUUUUUUUGUGUUUUCUUUUACUGUAUCUUCUGCUUGGUGUCAUAGCCAAGCUUUCUUUAUAUCGGGAACAUCUUGGAUAUUCCAGCAAAAUUCGAUAAACUAGGAAGAGCACAAAUAGGCAUAAGCAGGGUUGAAAGGAGGUUUUGGUUCAUGGAUGAAUUUGAUUUGAUACAUAGCAUUACUCCGCGGACCAUUCACCAUUCUUCCGUUGAUGUAGGAAUAGGUGAUGAUGCAGCGCUCUACACUGCGAAACACGGCGUUCAGGAAAUUGUUUGUGUUGAUACUAUGGUAGAAGACGUGCACUUCAAAUUACACUAUUCCUCACCUGAAGAUAUCGGGUACAAGGCGUUAGCCGUUAAUAUAAGUGAUAUUGCCGCGAUGGGAGGCAUUCCUAAGUUUUAUCUGGUAUCACUUGCGGUACCUUCAAAAUGGACUGAAUCUGAAAUCAAGGCGAUGUAUG